CGGAUCGCAGUCUGCAACUCGACUGCGUGAAGCUGGAAUCGCUAGUAAUCGCGCAUCAGCCAUGGCGCGGUGAAUACGUUCCCGGGCCUUGUACACACCGCCCGUCAAGCCAUGGAAGUCUGGGGACCUGAAGACGGUAACCGCAAGGAGCCGUUAAGGGUAAAACAGGUAACUAGGGCUAAGUCGUAACAAGGUAGC
rnacentral:rRNA from 1 species